GAAGUCCCGUAACGCCGGGCGGCACCUAGCGCCGGACACUCGUACUAUUUAAGCGUGUAUAAAUCUGUUCGAUUCAAAAUACAAGUGAAAAGGGCGCGGGGGGCACACAGGUACAGGAUCAUGCGCCACCCCUCACCUGUGACGCACACGACCACGGCAGGAGCAACCGUUAGCUGGUUUAGGUGCGAAAUCACUGCGACAGCUAAAUAUCAAUAUUAUAGAAGAAAGAAGAUAAUUAAAAUGGAAGACAAGAAAAAGAACGGAUCCUGGGCGCCACAGAGCUUACAACCUGCUAUUGAUGAGGUUAUGCCAAAAAAAGCGAGACAAUUUUCGUAAUUUGCUUAGAAGACUGGAUCCAGUGCUCAUCCUGUCGUGGGUGGAUACGUGAAGUAUGUGAAGACAUUCUAGAGUGUGAAAAUGGCUAAAUAUGCUGGUUAUUUUGAAAUUUCCAGUGCUAGGGGUAUGGCGCAAAUAGCCGUCCGGUACUAGGUGCCACUUUUUAAAAUUACGUUUUUUGUUAUCAAGGUUUGAUUGAUAGUAUUAAUUAUUUUAGAGCAGAGGUUGCAUUUUUGAUAAUUUAAUUUGAUUUCUAACUUUGUCAUCUUAUAUAAAUCAUAAUUUAAUAAACAUUUCUUAAACUA